UACGAAGGUGGCAAGCGUUACUCGGAAUUACUAGGCGUAAAGGGCAGGUAGGUGGUUUGGUAAGUCUGUUGUGAAAGCUCCCGGCUUAACUGGGAGAGGUCAAUAGAUACUGCCGAACUUGAGUAUAGGAGAGGUUACUGGAAUUCCCGGUGUAGCGGUGAAAUGCGCAGAGAUCGGGAGGAACACCAAUGGCGAAAGCAGGUAACUGGACUAUUACUGACGCUAAGCUGCGAAAGCUAGGGGAGCAAACAGGAUUAGAAACCCCCGUAGUCC
rnacentral:rRNA from 1 species